UUUUAGCCCAGAUAGAAGUGGAAAUCCUUUUCCUUUUUUCUUUAAAAAGGAAAAGAUUGCAACGAAUAGCUGGAUACGAG
rfam:Flavobacterium frigoris strain DSM 15719 genome assembly, contig: Ga0131223_101